AGUUGUGGGGGUGUACGUAGGCAUGAUCAUAGUGAAGCAGUACGUUAAGCGUAUGAGUGGCGUUUGGUUUGUGGAGUUGGCGGGCUCUCUGCUUGUGCAUUGAACCGUUCACCAGCAAACCUCUUCAUUGUUUGCUCCAAGUGCAUCAUGUGCCUUGGGCGUUUUGUGGUCCCUAUGUUGAGUUCCUAUUGACGGUAUUGAUGUUGUCCCAUUAAAGCGUGUAUUUCGCCCUACAUCUGUGAAGGAGGUCGGGCGGACAAUGAAACUUGGUUCGUUAUCCACCUGUCAAGCGAAAACAAGCAUGAUAGGAGAGGAUUACGUUCUCAAGCUGGACCCUUGGAUUCCGAAUGUUGUGUGGGUGUCGAUGUUGAAGCAUUGCACCCAAUCUAGCUUUGUAUGCUAACGAUGGAUGACAUUCGUGUACGACGUGACCCUUUCUUGAUUGAAAGGCGUCAUGCGUGCCGAUGUCGAUCGAGGAGUGCUACCUGGUUGAUCCUG
rnacentral:misc_RNA from 1 species